AGCAGCCGCGGUAAUUCCAGCUCCAAUAGCGUAUAUUAAAGUUGUUGCAGUUAAAAAGCUCGUAGUUGAAUUUCGGGAUCAAUACGUCGGUCGUGCUUCGGUACGUACUGGUGUCAUUGAUUUCUCCCUUCUGACGAACCAUGAUGUCAUUAACUUGGUGUCUUGGGAAAUCAGGACUGUUACUUUGAAAAAAUUAGAGUGUUUAAAGCAGGCUCACGCUUGAAUACAUUAGCAUGGAAUAAUGAAAUAGGACGUUCGAUCCUAUUUUGUUGGUUUUAGGAUCAACGUAAUGAUUAAUAGGGAUAGUUGGGGGCAUUAGUAUUCAAUUGUCAGAGGUGAAAUUCUUGGAUUUAUUGAAGACUAACUACUGCGAAAGCAUUUGCCAAGGAUGUUUUCAUUAAUCAAGAACGAAAGUUAGGGGAUCGAAGACGAUCAGAUACCGUCGCAGUCUUAACCAUAAACUAUGCCGACUAGGGAUUGGAUGAUGU
rnacentral:rRNA from 1 species